AUGCAGGCGGCGUUGUUAAGUCAGAUGUGAAAAGACCCCGGGGGCGUUAACCUACGGAACGUUAGUCAUUUGUAAACUAGGCAGGACUAGAGUCUUGUAGGAGGGGGGUAGGAAUUUCAGGUGUAGCGGUGAAAAUGCGUAGAGAUCUGAAGGAAUACCAGUGGCGAAGGCGGCCCCCUGGACAAAGACUGACGCUCAGAUGCGAAAGCGUGGGGAGCAAACGGGAUUAGAUACCCUGGUAG
rnacentral:rRNA from 1 species